GUGAAUCAUCGAAUUUUUGAACGCAAGUUGCACUUUCUGGUAUUCCGGAAAGUAUGCCUGUUUGAGGGUCAGUUAAAUUAAAAUCGGUGUUGUUGCUACCCGUAGUGGUGUGUGAUGCGUCUUAAGUGAUUCGUUCUUUACCUUUGGUUUAAGUAACUUAAAAUUAUGUUUGGUUUUUGAACGUAUUGAAAUUAUUACUUAGAUUCAUAAUAUCACUAAUUAGUUGCGUUAAUUCACAUAUUUUCGCGUCUAUAUUUUUUCAUUAUGUGACCUCAAAUCAUGU
rnacentral:misc_RNA from 1 species